rnacentral:rRNA from 1 species
AGGAGCGGUGGACUGAUUACGAGUGAGAAUGUUGGCAUUAGUAGCGAGAUGUAGGUGAGAAUCCUACAGGCCGAAUAUCUAAGGUUUCCUCAGGAAGGCUCGUCCGCUGAGGGUUAGUCGGGACCUAAGCCGAGGCCGAAAGGCGUAGGCGAUGGACAACAGGUUGAUAUUCCUGUACCACUACCAUCGUUAUUAUCGAGGGUGUGACGGAGAAGGAUAGUGUGUGCUAGCGAUUGGAAAUGCUAGUCUAAGCGUUUAGGCAGUUACGGUAGGCAAAUCCGCUGUAAUGUUAAUGCUGAGGCGUGAUGGGGAAGGCCCUUGAGGCUGAAGUACAUGAUUCCAUGCUUCCAAGAAAAGCAUCUAGAGAGAGAAGUAGUGCCCGUACCGCAAACCGACACAGGUAGAUGAGGAGAGAAUCCUAAGGCCGGCGGAAGAAUUGCAGUUAAGGAACUAGGCAAAUUGACCCCGUAAGUUAGCGAGAAGGGGUGCCUACGAGAGUAGGCCGCAGAGAAUAGGCCCAAGCAACUGUUUAGCAAAAACACAGGUCUCUGCUAAAGCGCAAGCUGAUGUAUAGGGGCUGACGCCUGCCCGGUGCUGGAAGGUUAAGGGGAACACUUAGCGCAAGCGAAGGUGUGAACUUAAGCCCCAGUAAACGGCGGCCGUAACUAUAACGGUCCUAAGGUAGCGAAAUUCCUUGUCAGGUAAGUUCUGACCCGCACGAAAGGCGUAAUGAUUUGGGCACUGUCUCGACAGCGCACCCGGUGAAAUUGUAGUACCAGUGAAGAUGCUGGUUACCCGCGACAGGACGGAAAGACCCCGUGGAGCUUUACUGUAACUUGAUACUGAGGUUGGGUAUUACAUGUACAGGAUAGGAGGGAGGCUAAGAAGCCAGGACGCCAGUCUUGGUGGAGCCACCGGUGGGAUACCUCUCUUGUAAUACUUAACUUCUAACCAGAGCCCGUUACCCGGGUUUGGGACAAUGUCAGGUGGACAGUUUGACUGGGGCGGUCGCCUCCGAAAGAGUAACGGAGGCGCUCAAAGGUAACCUCAGAAUGGUCGGAAACCAUUCGAAGAGUGCAAAGGCAGAAGGUUGCUUGACUGCGACACCGACGGGUGGAGCAGGUACGAAAGUAGGACUUAGUGAUCC